rnacentral:lncRNA from 1 species
UUUAAUAAAAACUUAAAAUAUUACUGAUUAAAAACUUAAAAUAUUACUGUCAUUUCUAGGAUUUAUAUGUGGGUUGUAAUAAUUUUUAUGAAAUUAUUAGGAUUGUAUGUGAAUUAUAGAAAUUUUUAUUUAGUUGUUAUUAUCAUAUUAUUAAGUUUAGUUAGUAUGUUUUAUACGAUUCUUUUAAUUAUACACUUAUUAAAGUAAUUAGUAUAUAUUUUGGGCUGGGGCUACUAUACUCAUAUGAGUAUAGAGCCCUUUAUACUCAUAAGUUUUCAGCCAUUGGGAUGAAAAAAUAUGCGGUUCGAAUGAGAAUGGUUAUGGUUAGGUUAAUAGUGGAUUCCUUAGGAUUGAGUGGGUGGUUAGUUGAAUAGUAUAAUUUAACGGGUGAAAAUAAUUAAAAGGUAAAUCUAACGGCAAAAUAUUUAUGAGUACAUGAGGCUCUAUACUCAUAAGAGUAUAGUAGCCGGACUCUAGAUUUUGAAGCCAAAACAUUAACGACCGACUAAAAUCAAACAAACUGGGCGGUUGGAUACUAAAAUCGAAAUAUUUGAAAGGUUGGAUAGCUGUUUCAAAAUGAUCCAUAAAAUCACGUAAAUUUUAAAAAGUUAACAAAGUUACAGAACCAAGCUAUGAGAUCGGAAUAGUACAAGAACUCCCCAGACAUUUUUAGAAAGCCCUUGAGAAUAUGAAAGGAGAGAAAUCACUCUAGUAGUAAAAUCGAAAUAUUUGAGAGAUUGAAUAGCUGAUUCGGAAUGAUCCAUGAAAUCAGAUGAAUUCUAAAGUUGGCAAAAGUUGC